rnacentral:lncRNA from 1 species
GACGAUAAUAAUAAUGAUAAUAAAAGAGGAUGAAAAAAAAAGUGAAUAAAUUAAACAACAAUAACAACACCAGUAGGAAUAACAAUAAUAACAACAGUUACAAUAAUAACAACAACGACGACGACCGUAAUGGCAACAAUAAUAAUACUGACGUUAAAGAAAGAAGUGUGAAAUAUAUGUAUGAAAAAAAGAAACACAUGAUGAUUUAGUUGAAAAUACGCCCCUAAGUCUUACAAAAUCAUUAACGGCAUGACAAUGUUGUCCAUCGAAAACAAUUUUCCGGGUGUACUUUGAUGUUUACAAUCUUGUGUGUACUUUAGUCUAUCCCAAAUUCUAUCAAGUGUACUUUUGUCUAUUUACUUUAUACUUUACCAUAUCAAUAUCAAACCGGGUUAAUACUCAAAUUCGUCCCGAAAGAUUACGCGAUAUUCAUUUUCGUCCUCGAAUGAUUUUUUUAAUCAAAUUAGUCCCUGAAAGAUAAAAAAUAAGUCAAAUUAGUCAUUCUGUCAGUUAGGCGAUGAUGUGGCACGUUAAGUGCCACGUGGCAGGUCAACGCCACGGUCAACGCCACGGUCAACGCCACGUGGCAGGUCAACGCCACGUGGCAGGUCAGCGACACGUGGCACGCCACUGACACACGUGUCAGUUGACAUGUAAAAAAGAUUUUUAUAGUCAAAAUAAUCCUUGAAAGUCCAGACGUAAGUCAUUUUCAUCCCUCAAAUUUUAAAAAUUAGUCAAACUAGUUCUUAUAUAAGUUUUUUUUAUUUUUUCUUCAUAAUAUUAUAUUUGAAAUAUUUUUUGAUACUACUAAUUUUAAUAGAAAUGUAAUUGACAAACAAAACAUUAGUAAUUGUAUCUUUUCUUCUUAAAAAUUUUUUCCAAUAAAAUUAUCUCUCUCCUUUAAUUCUUCUCAAAAUUAUUCUUUUCUAUUCUAAAACAUUUUUCUUACAUACAUUUUACUGGAAUAUAUAUAUAUAUACACUCAAAAUUGAAAUGUAUGUAUUUAUUAACCUAAACAAAAUUAUAUGCUCAAAAUCAAAAUUUAUGUAUGUUAACCUAAACAAAGUUAUACCACUAUUUUUUUUCUGCUACAUAUUUGUUUUUCCAUUACGGUAUUACUUACAUAUAGGAUGUAAUGAUAGUGAUACUUAGAGUCAAAAUUUAAGAAGAUCCACAAAUUUUGACUCUAAGUAUUACUAUCAUUACAUUCUAU